UUCUAGGCAGGUUUAAAUGAGGCUGAAACAUUGAAUAACAAUUCUGGAAAGUCCCCAUGUGCAAUUAAGAUUAUGGUAUUGUUCUACCUAUAACAUAAUUUUAGAGUUGUUAAACACCAAAAUAAAUGUCACCAUGAUAUUCUACGCAUUUUUCUAGCCAAGUUACAUAUCUGGAUCAUUUAAAUCGGAGAUAUGGUUAAUUAUCUAUGAAAUAAAUCAUUUUAAC
rnacentral:lncRNA from 1 species